CAGUACCAGAAGACUCUUGGGAUCGACCUAUGGAGCACACACUACGAGAGAAUGCAAGGACACUUGAAAAAACUCAAGGAGAUCAACAAUAAACUAAGGAGAGAGAUCGGAGUAUGUGGGUGGCACAGGCAGAGAGUGGGUGGAGAGGACUUGAACGAUCUAAGCAUCCAGGAACUGUGCGGUCUUGAGCAAAAGAUGGCUGCUUCUUUGACUGAUGUUCGCCAACGGAAG